rnacentral:rRNA from 1 species
CGGGGUGAGUAACACGUGGGCAACCUGCCCUGAAGCGGGGGAUAACAUCUGGAAACAGGUGCUAAUACCGCAUAACAACGAAAACCACAUGGUUUUCGUUUCAAAGAUGGUUUCGGCUAUCACUUCAGGAUGGGCCCGCGGUGCAUUAGCUAGUUGGUAAGGUAACGGCUUACCAAGGCAAUGAUGCAUAGCCGAGUUGAGAGACUGAUCGGCCACAAUGGAACUGAGACACGGUCCAUACUCCUACGGGAGGCAGCAGGC